AGAGUGAACGCUGGCGGCAGGCCUAACACAUGCAAGUCGAACGGACCCUUCGGGGUUAGUGGCGGACGGGUGAGUAACACGUGGGAACGUGCCUUUAGGUUCGGAAUAGCUCCUGGAAACGGGUGGUAAUGCCGAAUGUGCCCUUCGGGGGAAAGAUUUAUCGCCUUUAGAGCGGCCCGCGUCUGAUUAGCUUGUUGGUGAGGUAAUGGCUCACCAAGGCUACGAUCAGUAGCUGGUCUGAGAGGAUGACCAGCCACAUUGGGACUGAGACACGGCCCAAACUCCUACGGGAGGCAGCAGUGUGGAAUCUUGCGCAAUGGGCGAAAGCCUGACGCAGCCAUGCCGCGUGUAUGAUGAAGGUCUUAGGAUUGUAAAAUACUUUCAACCGGUGAAGAUAAAUGACUGUAGCGGAGAAGAAGCCCGGAUAACUUCGUGCCAGCAGCCG
rnacentral:rRNA from 1 species